AUGAUCAGGAGGAAAUUAUAUCCGAUCGCCUGCAGGCUUCCCCCAGAUCCCCUCCACGGUCCUUCCGGGGAAUAUUCGGAGCCUGGUGGAGGGAUACGGCUUGUGUGCCAUGCAGCUCUCCAGCCAAGAAACGCCAGAGCGGCGCCGAUGUGCUCAGACAGUGGGCGGCCGCAGUGCCUAUGGCUGAGGCAGGGGCCAGGUCACCCCCCGGGAGGGGCCGGGGUAGGGAGCCUGCCUGCGCCGCCGUCAUAUGACAGUGCUCUGGCCAGAAGGACCUUGUGUAGUCCGAAUCCGCCUGGGAAUAGAGAGCCUGAGCGGAACCGUCUGGCUAAACUCUUCCGUCUCUCCAUAGCCCGAGUCAGCUCUCUUCCCUCAUGCCAGCCAGAGCAGAAAGGCAGUGUAGGUGCUUCCCAGGAGCCAGUGGCCUGGGGCUAGGGUUGGCGUUUGGCUUCUUAAGAGCCUAUCUUUUUAUUUCUUUUCCAGUGGUCUGUAUUUCAAAUCCUGACCAAUCUCAUCAAAGCCUCAGGUGGUAUUCAAUCUCAUGACACCUGGAGAAAGGAAGCGGAAUCCACCCAGGCCAGAGCAGCCCCGCGGUGGGGAGCAGCACAGGACCCCCCCGUACAGAAGCAGCUCCCUAAGGAUGGACUGCCUCCGCAGACCUGGGAGCCCCUCCAGCGCAGCGACUCCUCCAGGGUUGGGGGCUGCUUCUGCAGUUCUGCCGAUGACCACCAGGGGUCAGGCGCGGCUCUGCAUCUCUCUCCUGGGCUCCAGGACUGGACUGCGAGGGCGACCACAGGAUGCCCGCAGCUCCGCGCGGACGCCUGGGGCCACCCCCGCUCCCCAGCCCAGGGCCCCUGC
rnacentral:lncRNA from 1 species